rnacentral:tmRNA from 1 species
GCCCUUGGCGUCUCGCACCCAAGCGCCUAUAUCGGUCGGUGCCGGGUUCGCCCGGCUAUGGCGAUAAACUGCGGCGUAUAAUAGGCGCAGCGGACCCGGGGGCAGUACCCGGCGGCUCCACCAGGUGAGCCGGUUGGCCGACACGCAUGAAGCGUGCCGGCCGAGCGGCUCAGCUAAUGGGGCCGAACCAGGAUCGACGUGUGUUGAAAAGCGCUGUUUUCGCCCGGAAUGGGACCACCGCAACGGCCCAUCACACAAGUGCCAACGAUAACGAGGCGCUCGCGAUUGCUGCUUAAUCCCAACCCUCACGGGUAAGAUUAAGUAGGCCAAAAGCGCGGUUCGGGCCGCACCGGGCAACAGAAGCGGAUUCCG